CCUCAAGAUUUCAAAAUGUGUUGAGCAGGAAGAUGGCGGCGAGGAAGGAGGGAGCAGAUUACAUUUCCUCCUACACAUGGGAGAAAAACUUAGCCGAUCUACAGAGGAAGAGAGCAAACAGCCAAUAGUACCCCAGCAUAUAUGAAGAUAGGAGACCAAAAAUAGUAGUGGAUACUGAGAAAUCAGACAGUAAAGAGAGUGCUUCAGGACAAUAAGGUCCCAGGGACCAGCUCAGGGACCAGGGAGGCUGCAGCCCCAGGCAUGGUGCCCUCUAGGUCUGCCACAGGGCCCUUGGUACAGAGCUGGGUCAACUACUCUCUCCCCAGCCAAACAAGGUUUGAGCAGCACCGGGAGAGACCUAGUUGCUUGAAGUCACAGAGAGGGGAAUAAGGACUAAGUGGCAAACACACAGGG